GCUACCAGGACAGAACUUGCAUAGUCAACCAAUGUUCAAGUCUCCCAGAGGAAUAACAGAAGACCUACAGAGACUUAUUUCUCUUAACAGCCUUCUCAAGGAUCUACCCAUAAUAAAGAACCUAUGUAGCAUUUGCCAUAUAGCAUUUUUCUUUCUCGUUAUACUGUGAUAGAGUCAGCUGCUCAAUAGUCAGCUCUAAUAAGGCUCUUGGGGGCUCUAUCUGAUAUCAGCGAUGUAAUCAUCAGAAAUGUGUUACUAAAGAUCUUUGUUUAGUGUCUAUUACAUUCUUAUAUUCUACUUUUAAUUUUCCUUUCAGUACAGCCAACUAAAUGGUAGAGAGAGCAGUAGCAAUUUUGUAUUUGUUAUUUAGCUGGGAUCACACUUUUCUUGUAAACCUCAAACUCUGCAGCCCAAGAAUCAUUUUAUCCAGUUGCUCUACUCUGUGUCAUUGAAUGCUCAUUAAGUCAGGAUAUAAAGGAGCUUCAUUUACAAUACUUGUCUUUGUUAAUAUUUGGCCACAUCUGCAGUUGGCAAAUGAACAGACUGAAACAUUUCUUCUCUCUUUCUUUUACUAAUAUUUUCAAGUUUCCCAUGUUAUGUAAUUUAGGUCAGAACUAAAAUUUCCUGUAAGACCUUGUAUUCACUAGGUUUUAGUUCAAUUCAACUCUGCAAGCAUUUUGAAUGCCUGUUCUUUGCAAGGCACCAUGCUAGGUAAUGGGAGAGGUGCCAGGAUGACUGUUGGUUUGUCAUUGACCUGGAGAAAGCCUAGUAGAACAGGAAACAUGAACCCAAAUCACUGUGACAUAAGGUAGAUUAUAACCACCCUAAGAGAAAGGUGCAGAUCUUGUGUUAUGGGAUUUUAAGAGGAAAGAGUGAUCACAUUCAGUUGGGAAGAUCAGGAGAUAGCAUUAGGUUUGUCUUUAAAGACCAAGUAGAAUCUUGAGGGACUGGAGUGUUGAGGAGCAUAUUCAACAAAAGCAAGUGCCUAGAAGUGAGAAAAUAAGGGACACAGUGAGAAAUCAGCAGGAUGGGCUUAGUGUGAUAAGUGGGAAAGAUAGGGCAUAUUUGAAGGAUGUUGUCUCUAACCAGGUGCAGUGUGGAAAAUCUGCCUUAAAAUAGUGAAAAUAGUUGAGGCUGGAAAGCCUUCCAGUCUUAAAGUUACAAGCAGUCGGGUGAAGGCUAGAAUCUACCAUUGGGGCCAAACUGCUAAGUCGGUUUUUUACAAACAUAAUUUCAAUGGGCCUUUUAAUUAUGUAGGUGUAAGGGCAAGUACUCACUAUUUUUCUUAAAGAAAGUCGAAAUGCAGUGCAGUAACCCAAAUGCAAAUGCUCUGGACAGUCUAUUUAGUAAUGUAAAUUGGGUAUAUCUUAAGCUCAAUUAUGUUCCUGCAGAGGUAUAAAUUUUUUCCCCUCAAUCUAGAUUUAGAAUUUAUGUCUGAAAAAUGCUGGUUGUUCUUGGGAAAUGUGUGUAUGGGUUCUUGUCCUGCAUUUGUUUAUAGGAGAUCAGGAAUGAAAACAGGGCUAUAUUAGGGUUCAUGUGAAAGACCAUUCUGCACUUCACCGCAUGCUGGAGAAAAGGCUGUAAAGGAAUUGCAUCUGGCUUGGGGCUGUGCUUCCAGGCUGCUUCUGGUUAUCCCACAUUGCUGUUACAUAAGACUGGACAGCCUAACUUUAGUCAGUGUGGUCUGGGAGGACUGGACUUGCUGAGUCACAGAAGCCUAAUUCUUUAGAGGUAGGUUAGCAGGUAGAGGGAGAAGAGUCCUUAGAGUCAUUCUUCCUGGGAAGAAAAUCCUUCCAAAUCAGGAAACAAAGUGGUCACUGGCUGGGGUAGAGAAUGAUGUUUUCCCCUCUCCAGGCCUGGGGAUCUGUUGGAUCCGAACUGUCUAGCAUGGACGUCGCGGGAGCACACGUGCUAGAGUGAGCCAACCCCUCCACAUGGAGGCAGGCCAGCGUUAAGGCAGAAAUCACUCUAUUUAAAGACUCUCAAAUGGUGAUUUAGGAUGUGGGCUUGAAGAGUAGCAAUGUUUAGCAGCAGUUUGACAUUAUUCUUUGUAUUACACUUGUGUUAACCUCAAGCCCUGAAGUUUUAUGUAAAAGCCACAGCCUGGCCUGAGGUGUGCCGCGGGCAAUGAAGAAGCACCCAUCUAAUGGCCAUGGGGCUGCAGUGCACUUUCUCUGAGGCAUAAGAGGAUUGAGCAGAAAUAGCUGGGCUUUCUUUUGCAAUGGAGGAGCACAGUGGCCACCACGUGGAAAGCAGGGACAGCGCCAGAGAGAACCAAAGAGACCUGCUCCAGAUCGCACACGAGGCAGUGUCCAGGAACUCCACAAAAAACCUGGCAAAAUACCCAGCCAAACGCAGCUGAAGGACAUUCUACACACAGGCUGGUACCCCUCAGGAAUGUCCAUUUCAUCAAAGGAACAGAGAGGGUGAGGACUAUUCCAAGGAAAAGGACAUGAGAGGCAUGACAACAAAAUUGAAGGGUGUGAUCCUGGACUGGCUCUUGGAUCAAAAAAAUAAAUGCCCUAGAGGACAUUUAAUUAUUGGCAUAAUUGGUGAAAUUUUCAUAUGAGGUGUAUGUUGGGUAAUAGAAAUGUGUAUUGCUGUUAAAUUUCCUGAAUUUGUUUAUUGAAUUAUGGUUAUGUAAGAGAAAGUUCUUGUCCUUAGGAGGCAUUUAGAAGUAUGAUCAGGUAUUUAAGAGUGAAAGGUCAGGGUCAUAUUGUGUGAAAGUUAUUUUCAAAUGGUUUAGCCAGAAAGUUAAUAAUGGUUGUGUGUGUGUGUGUGUGUGUGUGUGCAUAGAAAGAGAGAGAGAAAGGCAAAUGUGGCACUAAAGAACAAUAAUUUCAUGAGUAAUUACUCAAUGCAUAAUAAUUUAUUAUCAAAAGUGUGACUUUAGUAUAGAAAGUAGACUUUAUUUACAUGUAUCAAAUGGUAUAUCUUGGUAAGGUCUGCACCAUAUACAUCAUGUUCAUAAUCCUUAACAUUCAGAGGCACUUUGAUAAUCAUGCAUAGCACGUAGUAAUGCAUCCCUUUUUCUCCAUCUUGUAAUGGUGAUUUAGAUGUACAGUUUUCUAAUUGCUUGUUUCUUAUGUUAUGAUGGAAAACGGAUGUGUUGUUUGGCAUGAUUGCUUCACUUGCUACCCUGAAAAUACAUUGACUUCAAUCAUUUUUGGCAUCCCUAACACCUAGCAAUGUCCUCCUAAUGGUGGUUAACAAACAAAUCUACUGCAUGGAUUGAAUAGCUGUAUAAAUAGCAUGUAAAGGGGUCAAUGAAGUACCACCACGUUAAGAGAUACAUAGCACGGGCAUCUCCUGAUAAGAUCAGUGGACAGACGCCAUCUAGAAACAUCUCUUUCCACUUGUGUGCCAUGGUAUCCUCUUUAAUCCAGAUUCACAGCUGACUUUAGACCUGGUUCCUCUAUGACUUGGAGACACUCUAGUCUUAUUCCUUCCUAGUAAUGGAUCUCAGCAAAUGACUCUCCUUCUGAGCACUCCUUGUUUUUGGCAUUUGCUAAGUCCAUUAGUUCAGUUACAACCCUUGAGUAGGUAAAAAUUUUGACCUUCACCAUCCAGUUUAUUCCCUAAAGCAGACUUUUCUGUUAGAGACCACACUGAAUCACAUGUCAAGCCUAUUACAAAUUAUUGACCAAAACACAGAAUUCUUGACUGGAAAGAGAUAACUAUCAAACCUUCCUGGUUGGGAAUGUAUCCAGUGGGAGACACAUGUUAUAGGCAGAAUAGGCAGAGUAGAAUGGGUACAUGUUAGCCAAAGCCAAAAAAGAGUGUCUGUACAUUUUAAGGACUAUAGUCAUCUUUUUGCUUUUCCUCCUGUUUUUGAGGUUGCCAUAAAUAUGCACAUAAUUCAAAAUUCCUUAAGUAUCAGGGAGUAUUUGUUAACUUACUCUCCUCCCAGUAUUCUUACAUUAUCAAAAUUACAUCUUAAAUAUGAUUUAGGUUUUUUUGUUUUUAAUUUUUUAAUUUUUUUUUAUUUUUACAGUCACAUAGUAGGUACAUUUUUAUGCGGUACAUGAGAUAUUUUGAUAUAGGCAUACAAUGUGUAAUAAUCACAUCAAGGUAAAUGGGGUAUCUAUAACCUUAAGUAUUCAUUAUUUCUUUGUGUUAGAAGCAUUCCAGUUACACUCUUUUAGUUAUUUAAAAGUGUACAAUAAGUUGUUGUUGACUGUAGUUAUCUUGUUGAAUAAAGAUCAAAUACUAGAUCUUUAUUCAUCCUAUCUAACUAUAUUUUUUGUACCCAUUAAUUAUUCCCAUUUCCUUCUCCCUCCCAAAGUGUGAUUUGAUUAAUGAAUAAACAAAUGAGACUCCAGGCCAAGAAGUGCUCAGUUCUAAGUGUCUUACUCCAAUGUAUUAUUGAUUUAAAUAUGACCAUCCAUUUCAUAAAGAAAAAGAUUAAGGGCAAUAAGGGUAGUAAUUCAUAUUCAGAGAUGAAGAAUACGGCAGACAUAAAUUCUUACUUGGCAGCUGUUAAAAAGUUAAUGGAUAAAAAGAAAAAACAACCAGUCAUUUUCUAUUUCACCUUGUUUUCUCCCUAGGUGAUGUUUAUCAGAUUCUAAAAGCUCAAACAAAGGCUUUGGUUAAGUCUUGAAUGAGAGAGAAUUUUAUGAGAACCCCUAGCUGCCAGAAACACUGACAUAAUUGAGCCACUAUCUGAAAUUGUUGUGAACAAGAAGCUAAGUAUUGCGUAAGGGUGGGC
rnacentral:lncRNA from 10 species